rnacentral:rRNA from 1 species
GACAGAGGUGGCAAGCGUUGUUCGGAUUUAUUGGGCGUAAAGAGCGCGUAGGCGGUCUUUUAAGUCGGGGGUGAAAUCCCGGGGCUUAACCCCGGAAUUGCCUCCGAUACUGGAAGACUUGAGUGCGGGAGAGGAUAGUGGAAUUCCCAGUGUAGAGGUGAAAUUCGUAGAUAUUGGGAAGAACACCAGUGGCGAAGGCAGCUAUCUGGACCGCAACUGACGCUGAGGCGCGAAAGCGUGGGUAGCAAACAGG